rnacentral:tRNA from 1 species
GAUAAAAUGGCUGAAUUUAGGCGAUAAAUUGUAAAUUUAUUAAUGAAAUUAAGAUUUCUUUUAUUA